AUUGAACGCUGGCGGCAGGCCUAACACAUGCAAGUCGAACGAGUGGCGGACGGGUGAGUAAUGUCUGGGAAACUGCCUGAUGGAGGGGGAUAACUACUGGAAACGGUAGCUAAUACCGCAUACCAUCGGAUGUGCCCAGAUGGGAUUAGCUAGUCGGUGGGGUAAAGGCUCACCUAGGCGACGAUCCCUAGCUGGUCUGAGAGGAUGACCGGCCACAAUGGAACUGAGACACGGUCCAGACGCGUACGGGAGGCAGCAGUGGGGAAUAUUGCACAAUGAGCGCAAGCCUGAUGCAGCCAUGCCGCGUGUAUGAAGAAGGCAUUCGGGUUGUAAAGUACUUUCAGCGGGGGGGCGUUACACGCAGAAGAAGCAACGGCUAACUCCGGGCCAGCAGCCGCGAUAAUAC
rnacentral:rRNA from 1 species